UACGUAGGGUGCAAGCGUUGUCCGGAAUUAUUGGGCGUAAAGAGCUCGUAGGCGGCUUAGAAAGUCAGGUGUGAAAACUCUGGGCUUAACCCAGAGACGCCACUUGAUACUUCUAUGGCUUGAGUUCGGUAGGGGACCAUGGAAUUCCUGGUGUAGCGGUGAAAUGCGCAGAUAUCAGGAGGAACACCGAUGGCGAAGGCAGUGGUCUGGGCCGAUACUGACGCUGAGGAGCGAAAGCGUGGGGAGCGAACAGG
rnacentral:rRNA from 1 species